rnacentral:rRNA from 1 species
GGGCUCGAGUAACUCCCAACCCCUGUGACAUACCUUAAUGUUGCCUCGGCGGAUCAGCCCGCGCCCCGUAAAACGGGACGGCCCGCCAGAGGACCCAAACUCUAAUGUUUCUUAUUGUAACUUCUGAGUAAAACAAACAAAUAAAUCAAAACUUUCAACAACGGAUCUCUUGGUUCUGGCAUCGAUGAAGAACGCAGCAAAAUGCGAUAAGUAAUGUGAAUUGCAGAAUUCAGUGAAUCAUCGAAUCUUUGAACGCACAUUGCGCCCGCUGGUAUUCCGGCGGGCAUGCCUGUUCGAGCGUCAUUUCAACCCUCAAGCCCCCGGGUUUGGUGUUGGGGAUCGGCUCUGCCUUCUGGCGGUGCCGCCCCCGAAAUACAUUGGCGGUCUCGCUGCAGCCUCCAUUGCGUAGUAGCUAACACCUCGCAACUGGAACGCGGCGCGGCCAUGCCGUAAAACCCCAACUUCUGAAUGUUGACCUCGGAUCAGGUAGGAAUACCCGCUGAACUUAAGCAUAUCAUA